AUUGAACGCUGGCGGCAGGCCUAACACAUCCAAGUCGAACGAGUGGCGGACGGGUGAGUAAUGUCUGGGAAACUGCCCGAUGGAGGGGGAUAACUACUGGAAACGGUAGCUAAUACCGCAUACCAUCGGAUGUGCCCAGAUGGGAUUAGCUUGUAGGUGAGGUAACGGCUCACCUAGGCGACGAUCCCUAGCUGGUCUGAGAGGAUGACCAGAGACACGGGAACGGAGACACGGGCCAGACUACGACGGGAGGCAGAAGUGGGGAGUAUUGCACAAUGGGCGGAAGACUGAGGCAGCCAUGGCGUGGGUAUGAAGAAGGGCGUGGGGGUGUAAAGUACUGUCAGCGGGGAGGCGUUACCCGCAGAAGAAGCACCGGCUAACUCCGUGCCAGCAGCCGCGGUAAGAC
rnacentral:rRNA from 1 species